CACUCUUAGUUGGAUGGUACGC
rnacentral:piRNA from 1 species